rnacentral:miRNA from 1 species
UUGGGACAAUACUUUAGAUAU